rnacentral:lncRNA from 1 species
AUUUAUUAACAUUAAUGAAAGGUCUACAAUAAUACUAUGUCAACAAAGAAGUUUCAUCAUAAUUUUUCAAACUGGUUUUCGAUAUGUGGAAAUUAUUUUAGAAUUUUUAUACUUGUUGAAUAUUAUUUUUCUUAAUUUUGAACUGAAUCUACCAAUUGUUUUAUAAAAUUAAAUAAAAAGCAAGAAUAAAAUAAGAAUGAGAGUACAAAAUAGAGAAAGCAAAUAAUAAAAAAAUAUCAAAAUAGAAAAAAUAUGGCAUAUGAUGGAUAUUAAUAAUUGAAACACUUCUAUUAAUAUGAAAUAAUAGUAACAAAAACAAAAAAGUAAUAAUUUAAUUAUUUUAUUAAUAAAUAUUUUUAUAAUCUACAAAUCUUGAUUUUAUACUCUCGUGUUAGAGUGUUGUGAGAUGUAAUUAUGUACUUGCUUUGAGGUGUGGGUGUACUCGGGGUCUGGGGGUGGCUGAGGGUACAUUAUGCGUUGUAAAAAAUUUCACUUGUUUUUCUUUGGUUGUCAUUUGACAGCGACUGUUAUAUUUUUCUCUCUGAAUUUGGAAUUUCCAUGUUAUGUCCUUGUGUUUGUGUAUGUGUUAUUUUAAUUUCUCCAUGUUGAUAUUUUCUAACAAUUGUUAUCAUAGCUUAUGGUUCCAUCCAGGGAUAAGAGUUCUAAGUAUGCUUUAUGGUUGCAACUUUAUCUGAUCUUUCACAUCAAGUGUUGUUGAGCUACGGUCAGAAGUUCCACUAGGUGGAUUGGGCUAGAUAAAAUUGAGAGAAUAAUUAUUUUUUACAUAAGUUAAUGAUUAAUGCUCAGUACAUGAGUAUUUAUUAACAUUGAUGAAAGGUCUACUAUAAGAUUAUGUCAACAAAGAAGUUUCAUCAGAGCUUUUCAAACUGGUUUUCGAUAUGUGGAAAUUAUUUGAGAAGUUUUUAUACUUGUGGAUUAUAAUUUUUCUUAAUUUUUAAAUGAAUCUACCAAUUGUUUUAUAAAAUUAAACAAAAAAGCAAGAAUAAAAUAAGAAUGAAAGUACAAAAUAGAGAAAGCAAAUAAUAAUAAAAUAUCAAAAUAGAAAAAAAUGGCAUAUGAUGGAUAUUAAUAAUUGAAACACUUAUAUUAAUAUGAAAUAAUAGUAAGAAAAACAUAAAUAUAAUAAUUUAAUUAUUUUAUUAAUAAAUAUUUUUAUAUUCAACAAAUGUAGAUUUUAUACUUGUAGAAAUUUAUUUUUCUUAAUUUUGAAAUGAAUCUACCAUUUAUUUUAUACAAUGGAAAAAAAGCAAGAACAAAAUAUAGAUAUAAAAUGAUCAAAAAUUAAAAAUAGGAAGAAAAAAAAGGCUUAUGAUGUAUAUUAAUUAUUUAAACAACGCUAUUAAUAUGAAAUAAUAGUAAUAAAUACAUAUGUUGCUGCCCAAGAUUGAACUGGAGACCUUCAGUGUGUAAGACUGACGUGAUAACCACUACACCACAACAACAUCUGGGUUAUUCAACUAAUUUAAUUCAAUACAUAGAUAUUAGAGAUGGAAACAAAUUAUUAAUUAAAAUGACACUAAUGACUAUUUUACAAUUGUAUCUCUCAAGAUUUGAACUCAAUUUCUUUAGAUUAAUAGACUAAAUUCUUCCAAAUCACCAAAAAUAUGUUAGUAUAGAUUGAAAAUAUACAUGUUUAACAAGUCUCACACCAUUUAAUUUUGUAAAGGAAGAGGGAGUUUAAGACUAUAUAAUGGAUUCAAUUUAUUCAUUAUAAAAUGCAUCAGUCAAAAAUACUUUAAACUUGUAUUUGGCGUCUUCUAUUUUUAAUUCGCUUAUACUCUUGUCUUAUAGUGUUGUGAGAUGUAAUUAUGUACUUGUUUUGAGGUGUGGAUGUACUCGGGGUCUAGGGGUGGUUGAGGGUAAAUUAUGCGUUGUAACAAUUUUUACAGUCUUUUCUUUGGUUGCCAUUUGACAGCGACUAUUAUAUUUUUCUCUCUGAAUUUGGAGUUUCCAUGUUAUGUCCUUGUGUUUGUGUAUGUGUUAUUUUAAUUUCUCCAUGUUGAUAUUUUAUAACAAUUGUUAUCAUAGCUUUUGGUUCCAUCCAGGGAUAAGAGUUCUAAGUAUGCUUUAUGGUUGCGACUUUAUCUGAGCUUUCAGAUCAAGUGUUGUUGAGCUACUGUCAGAAGUUCCACUAUAUGGAUUGGGCUAGAUAAAAUUGAGAGAAUAAUUAUUUUUUACAUGUGGAAAGUUCAAAUCAAAUAUGUGUUGAUAUGACAAGGAUUACAUAAUAUAUUGAUUAAUGCUCAGUACAUGAGUAUUUAUUAACAUUAAUGAAAGGUCUACAAUAAUACUAUGUCAACAAAGAAGUUUCAUCAUUAUUUUUCAAACUGGUUUUCGAUAUGUGGAAAUUAUUUGAGAAUUUUUAUACUUGUUGAGUAUUAUUUUUCUUAAUUUUGAACUGAAUCUACCAAUUGUUUUAUAAAAUUAAAUAAAAAGCAAGAAUAAAAUAAGAAUGAGAGUACAAAAUAGAGAAAGCAAAUAAUAAAAAAAUAUCAAAAUAGAAAAAAUAUGGCAUAUGAUGGAUAUUAAUAAUUGAAACACUUCUAUUAAUAUGAAAUAAUAGUAACAAAAACAAAAAAGUAAUAAUUUAAUUAUUUUAUUAAUAAAUAUUUUUAUAAUCUACAAAUCUUGAUUUUAUACUCUCGUGUUAGAGUGUUGUGAGAUGUAAUUAUGUACUUGUUUUGAGGUGUGGGUGUACUCGGGGUCUGGGGGUGGUUGAGGGUAAAUUAUGCGUUGUAACAAUUUUUACAGUCUUUUCUUUGGUUGUCAUUUGACAACGACUGUUAUAUUUUUCUCUCUGAAUUUGGAGUUUCCAUGUUAUGUCCUUGUGUUUGUGAAUGUGUUAUUUUAAUUUCUCCAUGUUGAUAUUUUAUAACAAUUGUUAUCAUAGGUUUUGGUUCCAUCCAGGGAUAAGAGUUCUAAGUAUGCUUUAUGGUUGCAACUUUAUCUGAUCUUUCAGAUCAAGUGUUGUUGGGCUAGAUAAAAUUGAGAGAAUAAUUAUUUUUUACAUGUGGAAAGUUCAAAUGAAAUAUGUGUUGAUAUGAUAAGGAUUACAUAAUAUAUUGAUUAAUGCUCAGUACAUGAGUAUUUAUUAACAUUAAUGAAAGGUCUACAAUAAUACUAUGUCAACAAAGAAGUUUCAUCAUAAUUUUUCAAACUGGUUUUCGAUAUGUGGAAAUUAUUUGAGAAUUUUUAUACUUGUUGAGUAUUAUUUUUCUUAAUUUUGAACUGAAUCUACCAAUUGUUUUAUAAAAUUAAAUAAAAAGCAAGAAUAAAAUAAGAAUGAGAGUACAAAAUAGAGAAAGCAAAUAAUAAAAAAAUAUCAAAAUAGAAAAAAUAUGGCAUAUGAUGGAUAUUAAUAAUUGAAACACUUCUAUUAAUAUGAAAUAAUAGUAACAAAAACAAAAAAGUAAUAAUUUAAUUAUUUUAUUAAUAAAUAUUUUUAUAAUCUACAAAUCUUGAUUUUAUACUCUCGUGUUAGAGUGUUGUGAGAUGUAAUUAUGUACUUGCUUUGAGGUGUGGGUGUACUCGGGGUCUGGGGGUGGCUGAGGGUACAUUAUGCGUUGUAAAAAAUUUCACUUGUUUUUCUUUGGUUGUCAUUUGACAGCGACUGUUAUAUUUUUCUCUCUGAAUUUGGAAUUUCCAUGUUAUGUCCUUGUGUUUGUGUAUGUGUUAUUUUAAUUUCUCCAUGUUGAUAUUUUCUAACAAUUGUUAUCAUAGCUUAUGGUUCCAUCCAGGGAUAAGAGUUCUAAGUAUGCUUUAUGGUUGCAACUUUAUCUGAUCUUUCACAUCAAGUGUUGUUGAGCUACGGUCAGAAGUUCCACUAGGUGGAUUGGGCUAGAUAAAAUUGAGAGAAUAAUUAUUUUUUACAUAAGUUAAUGAUUAAUGCUCAGUACAUGAGUAUUUAUUAACAUUGAUGAAAGGUCUACUAUAAGAUUAUGUCAACAAAGAAGUUUCAUCAGAGCUUUUCAAACUGGUUUUCGAUAUGUGGAAAUUAU